rnacentral:lncRNA from 1 species
GCUAUUCUGCUUUGAGGAAGCUAUGAUUGUGAACACUGUAUAAUUUCUCUGGCAGAUCUGAAACUGAUCUCACCUAAAUUCCAAACUUGGGGCUGAGGUAUUUAAACCUUGACCAUGGCAAUGACCCAGUCUUUAAGGGUCAGAACUCAACUUCAUUAUCUGCAGCCCUAAGAUCUCUGCAAAGGAGCCACUGCGACACUCCGGCCGCACCAGCUGGUCCUAUAUUUAGUUACUGUUGUGGUCAACUGGGAACUUUAGAGCCUGGCAGCCGCUCUGCGGGGCAACCGGAGCCUCCGCAGCCAUGCGCACGAUCUGCCCCACCGCUGGCUCCGCUGGCUCCAGACAGACUUCGGGACCCUGCUGAAGCCAAGAGCUGAUGUGGCGAGGUAAGGGGCACAAUGCUAAUCACACCCCAACAGUCCCAAAGGUCCACUCGAGACCAGAGCAGAGAUGACCCACUUUCUCACCCAGGGGAAAGAGCCCGCUGGGGCAAUGAGCUGGACACGUUGGCGCCUGGUUUCGCAGCUCAGCUUUAGAGUUGGGGAGCCCCGCGUGAGCAUCCUUAGACUGUACCGACAGUACACAGUGGCCAAGGACAGGAUCCCUGGACCCCAUUCUCACAGCCAGUGGCUGCUCGUCUCCAGCCUCGCGCUGGCCUGGCAGACAGGAACUGGGACAAAUGGAGCAAGCAGAGGGGGGACGCUGGUGAUCGCAGAGGCCGGGGGCGUCCCACGCUGCCAGGGGCGGAGAGGCACACUCCCAAGUGACAUGCGCAGCUGCCUCUCCCGAUGGGCAAGGGCGUCUCACUGGGGAGACGGAAGCCGGGCUGUCCGAGAGCUCUAACCACGAGCCUCCCACUACCGCAAGCGAUAGUCCAUGACCUCUGGGCACCGCCCGAGCCAUGACUCGGUGCUACCAGGUGUGCUGGGGGAGGGGAAGGGACACGGCCAAGCCCAGUGCUUUCCCUUCUGCCCCUGCCACGCUCGGCCUCUGGCCACCGUUAUUCAGCGCGGCGCGAAGCCUGUGGGCCGCUGGAGGCAGCACUUACGGCGACAAUGCGUCCUAGAGCCCAGCGCCCAGCACUCACGCUCCCGCGGCGACCGACGGCACCCGGUGCAAGUUCUGAGCCCGAGGGGCGGAGCCAAAGGGGCAGGGAGCUCAGCGCGCACGGCCGCUCAGCCAAUAGUGACACCAGGAUACGACCCAGGGCGGGGAGGGGCCAGCGCUCCGCCCGCGCGCACCAAUCAGCGCGCAACUCCUCCUGCGCGCUCGGGAACCAAGGGAGGAACCGCUUUGUGUGGAGUCGGCAAAGCCAGCGCGCUAGGGGCGGGGCCCUGCAUCUUCUUGUGUAGGAUGCUUCUCCAGGCUGGAUUUUAUUUUGUUUUUAAUUCCACGGAUGAGCCGGGUUCAGCAGAUCGGGGAACUUUGGAAAACGCAAAGAAACGCUAAUUGAAGCCGCACUGUAACUUCAUCUCUUCAGACUAAAGUAAACAUGGAACUAAAGUCUACCUGCUUCACGGGUCGCUGUGAGAACUGAUGAAGGGACUGUGGAGUCCAGCGCUGCUGCGACGCAAAAACACAACUCUCACCUCAAAGGGGAUCAGAGAUGGCUUAUCCUAGAGCCAAAUAGGAGCGACCCUAGCCCGGGAACACAAAUACAGGUUAUUCCAUGUCCCAACAUGGUAACAGUUUG